UACGGAAGGUGCAAGCGUUAUCCGGAUUCACUGGGUUUAAAGGGUGCGUAGGUGGGCAGGUAAGUCAGUGGUGAAAUCUCCGGGCUUAACCCGGAAACUGCCGUUGAUACUAUCUGUCUUGAAUAUCGUGGAGGUGAGCGGAAUAUGUCAUGUAGCGGUGAAAUGCUUAGAUAUGACAUAGAACAUCAAUUGCGAAGGCAGCUCGCUACACGGUUAUUGACACUGAGGCACGAAAGCGUGGGGAUCAAACAGG
rnacentral:rRNA from 1 species